rnacentral:lncRNA from 1 species
GACAAUUUCUCCUUUUCCCUUAACACAGUUGGAUUCCUUCUGUUCUCCAAUCAAGCUACAAUUGUCCAUGGAUGAUCAGAGCUACGAAGCAAGGGUUGCUGACCACAGGAAUUUAUUUUCUGUUACAUACUUCCGAUGCUGCUUUCUCUGGAGUGCUCUUCUCCGGGCUCUUGGAGCAGGUCGUGCUGCGUCCUCAGCCACCGCUGCCAUGUGGUCUUGUCAGCCUGCAUCUCCCACUUGCUUUCACAGAUUCUCCAUUUUUGCACCGUACAUGGCAUCCUUUAUCUUUUCUUUCAUUAACUUUUGCUCUUCCCUCAAUUUCUUCUUUUCGAUAUUUUCCCUCCUUUUCAAUUUGAUAACUAAAAUGUAGAGAUGAAGUUAUUGAGAUGUGAGAAAGUGAGGAAUGAGAAUGGAGAAGAAAGGAUUGAGGGUGCAACAUGGGAAAUGAAGGAACAAGCAGUGGGCUUCUUGAGAUGAUAAAUGUUAGUUAAUUUUAAUGUCAUUUCCCUUUUGUAUAUAAAAACUUUAUAAAUGCCUAAUUUUUAAAAAGAACAAGUAAAAGUCAUCAUCCAAUGUAACAAAAAGAUAGUGAAAAAAUAUUUUCUAUUAGGUUAUGAAAAGGGCUCCUGGGCCUUUUGGCUCUUUUGGGCUGUCCAUGUCUGGAAUUGUUAGAGGGAAUCCAGAGGUGGGUAUCAGUAUGACUUGAUCAGACAGAAUCACAUGUGUUCCCUCUAGAAGUUUGUAACAGGUGUCCAAGAAUCUCAGAACUUUCAGAGAUCAGUGUGCAGGAGCAUUCAGGCCACCCCUUCACAGUGGGCAGGCACCCCUGGGGGUAGGGGCAUCUGUUCUGUGAUCCUGGACCUACCUCCACAGCAGACUGAGGCAAGAGAAAUGCCUGCAUAACUGUGUCCUAAACAUGAGAACAACGUCAUAGAAACAAUUAUACUUAAGGGAAAGUUCUGUUCUGCAGAGUUUACUUCCUGGACUCUGUCCCAGGGUCCUUGGGAUCACCAUGCAUUAGGAAACAAGCAGCCACACAGCCAUCCACCUUCCAGGACUGGAGGAGAAUGGUUGCUUCUGUGGGUAUGGACACAGGUGUCCAUCUUUCCUACCAGGGAAUCCACUAUCUCCCACUUUUCUUUGCUUUUACAAACUAAACCAUUAAAAAAUUGCUGGC